UUGCUGACAAGAUUAUUCACAAUAGCAUAAAUAUUAUUGGAUAUGUCCGUUACAUUAAAAUAUGAGCAUUACAGGAUCAGAAGAUGAGGCGCGCUUAACUGUACGUGUUCCAAACAGGAAAUGACCAAUUUCCAUAUAUGUCAAAGGCAAAGUUUUCAAGCGAGGCUGCAAGGUUAAAACUCGUAAAAUCCUUUGAACCUCUUUAUCUGGCACUAGUCAACCGAUUUAUGGAAAUUAGUCAAUCAAUUAUUUAUAUUGGAAUCAAAUAAAGUAUGCAUCAUUGAUAGCUCGGAAACUCGUCUGUUACAUUUCCCUCCUAGUAAAACAUGCUGCUUUACACACGAAAUGGAGCUCAUAUCAAAGUUAACACGUCGAGGUCAGUCUAGUAUCUUGCGCAUUACUGAGAGAUCAGCUAUAGCCUCCUCUUGCUCCACUGAACGAUCUUUGUACCUGGCACUCUCUUGACUUUGCUCCGAAAGAACCUGAAAAAACAAACAAAGAUGGAAUCCUGUGAUUGAAAACAUACAGGAGGAGUGGUGUAUCCAGGAAGAAGGUCCGCGACUGCCAAGAAUCUCCUAUUCAUUGCUCAUGUUUCAGUUAAGACAGUAUCUGGACCUCCUUUGAAGUCAUGUUAUAUGAAGGAUCAUUCAAUAUCUGCACCCAUCUUACUCACACAGAACAAUGCAAGUCUAUGCAGACUGAUUGGAACAAAACUAUUAGAACUACAUUGGCUUGGAAUGAUAUGUGCUCUACUUUACUAAUCUAUCAAAUCGUUCAAAUUGCUCAGCGCAAUUGACUACUUCAACAAUACGGCGGCCAUCUCGGAUUGCAAGGCAUCAUGGGGCGUCCAGGGGUUAAAUUAAGCUUUGUUACAGCAAUGACGUCGAUUGAUAUUAACAGCUCACCACAAGACAAUACGACAAGAGACGAAUUAAGACGCCAAAUCGAUCACCUUUACCCAUAAAAGAAAGUCAAACACACUAAACUCUAUACAUUUUUUGUUAUCUUCGUUUUGUUUUGCCUCCUGGCAAGAUGGCCGCCGUUACGUCGAAGUAAUGGUCCAAAUKAAAGUGAACUUGAACUCAUUAAAAACCAUGCAUCGUGACAUA